UACGGAGGGUGCAAGCGUUAUCCGGAUUCACUGGGUUUAAAGGGUGCGUAGGCGGGCAGGUAAGUCAGAGGUGAAAUCUCCGAGCUUAACUCGGAAACUGCCUUUGAUACUAUCUGUCUUGAAUAUGGUGGAGGUAAGCGGAAUAUGUCAUGUAGCGGUGAAAUGCUUAGAUAUGACAUAGAACACCGAUUGCGAAGGCAGCUUGCUAAACGAUUAUUGACGCUGAGGCACGAAAGCGUGGGGAUCAAACAGG
rnacentral:rRNA from 1 species